rnacentral:rRNA from 1 species
ACAAGCGGUGGAGUAGUGUGGUUUAAUUCGAUGCAACGCGAAGAACCUUACCUGGUCUUGACAUCCCGGAGACCCUUAGGAAACUAGGGGGUGCUUCCAUCUGGAAGAAUCUGGAGACAGGUGCUGCAUGGCUGUCGUCAGCUCGUGUCGUGAGAUGUUGGGUUAAGUCCCGCAACGAGCGCAACCCUUGCCUUUAGUUGCCAGCAGUUCGGCUGGGCACUCUAAAGGGACUGCCGGUGUUAAACCGGAGGAAGGUGGGGAUGACGUCAAGUCCUCAUGGCCUUUAUGACCAGGGCUACACACGUACUACAAUGGCCGAUACAGAGGGCAGCGACACUGCGAGGUGAAGCCAAUCCCGUAAAAUCGGUCUCAGUCCGGAUUGGAGUCUGCAACUCGACUCCAUGAAGUUGGAAUCGCUAGUAAUCGUGGAUCAGCAUGCCACGGUGAAUACGUUCCCGGGCCUU